rnacentral:misc_RNA from 1 species
CUCGGAAAAGGGCUCAGCUGGCUCUUGUGUGAGUCACUUCUGUAUCUUUGGAGUCAUGGACCAUUAGCAGAAGAUUAGCCAAUUUAGUAGGGGGUAGAUGCAACAAUGUGAUCAAAUCUAAUAUUAGCUUUUACGGCUUUGUUCACUUGGCUAGUACUGCAGUUGGCAUCUUUUAUCUUAUAUGAAGUGGUUAAUGUUAUGAAUCUUUUGUAGUUCCAAUCUUCUCUACUUUCUUAUGACUUGUUUUUGUCUCUUUUGGCUUAUUAAUCGAGAUCUUUUAUUAAUGUUCA